rnacentral:rRNA from 1 species
CUUUCGCUUGGGAGAAGAGAUAUACAUAAAUAAUGUAUAAAUUUGAUAGUACCAGGUAAAGAAGCACUGGCUAACUCCGUGCCAGCAGCUGCGGUAAUACGGAGGGUGCAAGCAUUAAUCGGAAUAACUGGGCGUAAAGGGCGCGUAGGUGGAUAAGUAAGUCAGCUUUGAAAAUUCGAGGCUUAACCUCGAACCUGAAGAUGAAACUGCUAAUCUAGAGGGUAGUCGGAGAAAACGGAAUUUCACAAGUAGCGGUGAAAUGCGUAGAUAUGUGAAGGAACACCGGUGGCGAAAGCGGUUUCUAGAUUACACCUGACACUAAGGCGCGAAAGCGAGGGGAGCAAACAGGAUUAGAUACCCUGGUAGUCCUCGCCGUAAACGAUGUAUACUUGAUGUAGUUGGACUCAACCCCGACUGUGUCGAAGCAAACGUGAUAAGUAUACCGCCUGGGGAGUACGCUCGCAAGGGUGAAACUCAAAAGAAUUGACGGGGACCCGCACAAGCAGUGGAGCAUGUGGUUUAAUUCGAUGAUACGCGAAGAACCUUACCCAGACUUGACAUUAAACGGCAAUCAUCUAAAAGGAUGAGUUCCUUCGGGACCGUUUAACAGGUGCUGCAUGGCUGUCGUCAGCUCGUGCCGUGAGGUGUUGGGUUAAGUCCCGCAACGAGCGCAACCCUUAUCGUUAGUUGCCAGCAAUAUAAGGUGGGAACUCUAACGAGACUGCCUGGGUUAACCAGGAGGAAGGUGAGGAUGACGUCNAGUCAGCAUGGCCCUUAUGUCUGGGGCUACACACGUGCUAC